rnacentral:lncRNA from 1 species
CAAUUUCGAAAAUAGACCGUGGAAUAUAAAAGGUUUUAGAAUAGUCAGAAUCCAAACUCGAGACAUCAUUCAGGUAAGUUCAUGUAACCUAAUUGGAUGUUAAUGCAUGUUGACAUUAAUUGUUGUGUUGAAUUGAAUGUGAAAUGCAUAAAUAAUUAAUUGUAUGAAAAUGCCCAUAAUUUCGAAAUUGAUUGAAAAUGGGUUAGAUUCCGUUUGAAUAUGGAAUUCCAAUGGAUAGGUCACUUCUCAUGAGAAAUGGGAUCCUGCAUGUGU